AGCUUCCUGUGUUCGUGUUGUGGUUUCGUCACACAUCAAACCAUAAGGGCUAAUGAGACUCCCAAGAUAAAUUAGGCG
rnacentral:pre_miRNA from 1 species